rnacentral:rRNA from 1 species
UGGGGAAUAUUGCACAAUGGGCGCAAGCCUGAUGCAGCCAUGCCGCGUGUAUGAAGAAGGCCUUCGGGUUGUAAAGUACUUUCAGCGGGGAGGAAGGUGUUGAGGUUAAUAACCUCAGCAAUUGACGUUACCCGCAGAAGAAGCACCGGCUAACUCCGUGCCAGCAGCCGCGGGAAUACGGAGGGAGCAAGCGUUAAUCGGAAUUACUGGGCGUAAAGCGCACGCAGGCGGUCUGUCAAGUCGGAUGUGAAAUCCCCGGGCUCAACCUGGGAACUGCAUUCGAAACUGGCAGGCUAGAGUCUUGUAGAGGGGGGUAGAAUUCCAGGUGUAGCGGUGAAAUGCGUAGAGAUCUGGAGGAAUACCGGUGGCGAAGGCGGCCCCCUGGACAAAGACUGACGCUCAGGUGCGAAAGCGUGGGGAGCAAACA